rnacentral:rRNA from 1 species
UACGUAGGGGGCGAGCGUUGUCCGGAUUCAUUGGGCGUAAAGAGCUCGUAGGCGGUUCGGUAAGUCAGAUGUGAAAACUCCGGGCUCAACUCGGAGAGGCCAUCUGAUACUGCCGUGACUGGAGUUCGGUAGAGGAGUGUGGAAUUCCCGGUGUAGCGGUGAAAUGCGCAGAUAUCGGGAGGAACACCAGCGGCGAAGGCGGCACUCUGGGCCGAUACUGACGCUGAGGAGCGAAAGCGUGGGGAGCGAACAGG